GUCCUAGCCAAAGCCGUGAUACCAUAUUUUGCUCCUAUAUCUAGUUCAAUCAAAAACAAAAGAGAAUCCCAAUCCUUAAGACUAUACUUAUAUUGGCUAAGAUUUCUGGCCAGUCAGAUGCACAAAGAGAGACGUUGUUGAAAUUAACUUCAGUUCUAGUGAACGUAGAUUAUACCAUACAGACAGCCUAGACCUAGGCCUAAACUCGGCUGGUAAUUAUUGCAAUGGUCACUUGCCUGUAAAGGCCUAGUAGAUAGUUUCAGAAGUUCUCAAAUUAGCCCGAUAACUUUGUGAUCCG